GGGGCCGCUUUCGGAUUAUUGGGCGUAAGAGCUCGUAGGCGGUUUGUCGCGUCUGCCGUGAAAGUCCGGGGCUCAACUCCGGAUCUGCGGUGGGUACGGGCAGACUAGAGUGAUGUAGGGGAGACUGGAAUUCCUGGUGUAGCGGUGAAAUGCGCAGAUAUCAGGAGGAACACCGAUGGCGAAGGCAGGUCUCUGGGCAUUAACUGACGCUGAGGAGCGAAAGCAUGGGGAGCGAACAGGAUUAGAUACCCUGGUAGUCCAUGCCGUAAACGUUGGGCACUAGGUGUGGGGGACAUUCCACGUUUUCCGCGCCGUAGCUAACGCAUUAAGUGCCCCGCCUGGGGAGUACGGCCGCAAGGCUAAAACUCAAAGGAAUUGACGGGGGCCCGCACAAGCGGCGGAGCAUGCGGAUUAAUUCGAUGCAACGCGAAGAACCUUACCAAGGCUUGACAUGGGCCGGACCGGGCUGGAAACAGUCCUUCCCCUUUGGGGCCGGUUCACAGGUGGUGCAUGGUUGUCGUCAGCUCGUGUCGUGAGAUGUUGGGUUAAGUCCCGCAACGAGCGCAACCCUCGUUCCAUGUUGCCAGCGCGUAAUGGCGGGGACUCAUGGGAGACUGCCGGGGUCAACUCGGAGGAAGGUGGGGACGACGUCAAAUCAUCAUGCCCCUUAUGUCUUGGGCUUCACGCAUGCUACAAUGGCCGGUACAAAGGGUUGCGAUACUGUGAGGUGGAGCUAAUCCCAAAAAGCCGGUCUCAGUUCGGAUUGGGGUCUGCAACUCGACCCCAUGAAGUCGGAGUCGCUAGUAAUCGCAGAUCAGCAACGCUGCGGUGAAUACGUUCCCGGGCCUUUGUACACACCGCCCGUCAAGUCACGAAAGUUGGGUAACACCCGAAGCCGGUGGCCUAACCCCUUGUGGAGGGAGCUGUCGAAGUGGGACUGGCGAUUGGACUAAGUCGUAACAAGGUAACCAAGACU
rnacentral:rRNA from 1 species